rfam:Gossypium raimondii Chr11_contig_500, whole genome shotgun sequence.
AGCUCAUGAUGACAACAACUUCUCAAUAAGUCCUUGUAUCUCUCCCAUGCAUCAUAUAAUGUCUCCAAGUUGAUCUAAACAAAAAAAGAGAUGUCAUUCCUCAACUU